rnacentral:lncRNA from 1 species
CUCACCCAGUCACGUGCCUACUGUUGCUGCCCCCAUCUAGUAGAAUGAACUCUGGAGAGAAAAUCAUGGUUUAAAACACCGACUUUGUUACUAAUAACUCAAAUGGCCUUGAACUAGCCUCUUUCUCUUUGCGUCUCAGUGUUCUUAUCUGUGAUAUGGGGGAAGUUGGACUAGAUGACCUCUAAAUCCUCUGCUGUUCUUUGUCCCACACGUGCAGAGGAAUACCAGCAUUCCUCUGUCCUUGAGACUGAUAAGAUAUAGAGCUAGCACUAGCCUUGCAUACCAUAGAUAUUGGAGGAAGAUGUAACUUGUUUUUUAUUUGAUUUGAUUCCCUGCCUGCUGAAAGGGCUUGAGUUUGUAUAUCUCCUGAACAAAACAGAAGCACCCCGCUUGCUGUGUGGUAUGUCUCAACCCCUAGAGGCUUCAUGUUCCCCAAAUCUGCUGGGAAAAGGUAUUCACUUCUCCAAAACAAGCGUGGUUGGCACAGCCAUCGGAGAAUGGCUAAUUAAAGUUUCACUUAGCUCAAGUUCAACUUUCAAGUCAUGAGUCUCUCUUUCCCUCAUGUUUCCUAUUCCCAGGUUCUUCUUUUGACUUCGCAUCUGUCCCUCUGGACCCGUCUGCUGACUCCAGCUCCAUCUGAUGUGAUAAGUGUCUGCUUUGACCUAUGUAAACAAGAGGGUGUCUCACCUAUCCUGAAUUUUAAAGCCCGUUGGUGUGAGACACUUUCCUCACUGGUGAAGAUCAGUGCCCUGGGUCUGCAUGAGCAGUGGAGUAGACUUGGCAAGAGAAGAGAGAUUUUCUCUUUCUGUUGUUCAGAAGUUUCUUUGGGCUUUUCAGAUCUGGUUUUGAGGUGGAAGAUAGAAGAUGCCAAUAUCACUUUAGACUGUUAAAGUAAAAGAAUCUGGGAAGAAGCCAACAUGAGAGGAGUUGUCAAUCUGUCAUGUCCCCAUUCUCAUUCUCCUACAUUAGAAAUUUUAGGGAACUUCCCCUUGGGCAAAAUCUAGAAAUCUCUCUUGGUUGAGCUGAACUACCUCUCUCCCAAUGGGAGAACUCCUUCAUUCUGUAUUUUCUGGUAUACAUCCUCAUAUGCAAUGAUGGCAAACCUUUUAGAAAUUGAGUACUGGGCCCCGCCCCAAUGACACACCCCUAGACCCAGUGUUGUGCCCCCCCCCCCAGACCAUGUGCCAUGUCCAGCACCUCAGGGGAGGAGGAAGUACUCCCAUUGGGCUACUGGGCAGAGGGGUGGGUGAUAUGAAAAAAUAUCAUCAGGCACAGUGGAGAGAGGGAAGGGAGCAACUCUGCCCAAGUCCUUCUGCCUUUCUAGUAAUGAAUUCUGCAAGCCACCUUUGGCACCUGUACCAUAUGUUCACUAUCACUGCUGGCAUGUAUUCCCUCGUGAAUGUCUACUUUGCUCCGAUGUGAAUAAAUAGAUUGGUCUCCCAUCUGUUUCA